UUAGUAUUGUUGAAAUUGAUAUCCCUAAAGAACUAAAGAAAGGUCCAGCAGGGGCACAGUAGAGCAGCCUUUCCACACUGCCUUGCCACUGUGCCUCAGCCAUACUCUGAGGGACCACUUCGAGAAUGAGAGCACAUCACACUUCAUAGCCACUGAGUUCUUGAUCUU
rnacentral:sRNA from 1 species